rnacentral:lncRNA from 1 species
CGAGUUUUUCCAGCCAUUGAAUUCCCAAGAUCACAUCUGAACUGCCCAAACACAAUGGAAGAUAAUCCUCGACUACUGUCAAAUUGGGUAAUUCCAGCACCACCUGCCUCCAUUCCCCCUGUCCGUGGACUGCUUCACCCGUUCCCAACGUUACCCCAAAUGAUUUAUUGGACGUGACAGGAAUCCCCAAUUUGGCCACCGCAUCAAUCGAGAUGAAAUUAUGCGAGGC